rnacentral:rRNA from 1 species
GGAGUCUGGGCCGUGUCUCAGUCCCAAUGUGGCCGUUCAACCUCUCAGUCCGGCUACUGAUCGUCGACUUGGUGGGCCGUUACCUCACCAACUAUCUAAUCAGACGCGAGCCCAUCUUUCAGCGAUAAAUCUUUGGUAGCCCGGGGAUGCCCCCAAGCCACGUUAUGCGGUAUUAGCAGUCGUUUCCAACUGUUGUCCCCCUCUGAAAGGCAGGUUGCUCACGUGUUACUCACCCGUCCGCCACUAACUCGGGGAGCAAGCUCCCUUCGUCCGUUCGACUUGCAUGUGUUAGGCGCGCCGCCAGCGUUCGUCCUGAGCCAUGAUCAAACUACU